GUGCCCAGGGCCCGGCUGCAGCUCGUCCCGCGGCCCCGCAGGGCACGGAGCAGCACCGGGCGCUGUUGGGGACAGCGGUUCAAUCGCCAUUGUCUCAGCUCGUUCAUCAGAGAGGAGGCGGUGGCAACACGCUUCCUCUUCCCAGUCUGGGAGCUGUAGGAGCUUUUGUACCAGCGAUUCGGCACAGACUGACCCGGGUGACUUCACCCACCCGCCCAUGGGGCCCAUCUCUCACAGGAGAGCACAGCAAAGCGCCGUGGCUUUGCUGUCACAUAAACCCGCACAUGGGAUCGUUAACUCCGCUCCAAAUCGAGAUUACAGUGGCCAGACUGCUUGGUGGGGAUAAACUGGCUGGCGGGGUUGCCGUCUCUAUGCCCUAAUCUUAUCUUCUCAAACCUAACUUUGCCAAGCAAGGGUUAUUUCAGUAAGUGAAGGGACUAUGUCAAGCAUUUUUCUGUAAGGUGAAUGUGGUGUUGCCUUGUACAGUACAAACUGGGGAAUUAAUUUGGAGAAUAUUAAUAUUGCUACUAGAGUUCUAUUUAUGCUAUUUUUCUAAUCUAAUAUAUUGUUUACAGUGGGAUUUUGAACCGUUCCAGCCCUCAACCAAAGCGAUUAGUAGAGGCACACCAAGGCAAUCCACGGGUUUAGACAAAUAAACCAUACUCAUGUCAACAUCUUUCAUGGUAGGACUGAGGCAGACAGGAUCUGCUGGCAGCUGUGCCAUGGUUUGUAAGUCAUCUCCCAAGCUAAAUAUGUCACCUCUGCCAGGUAACCACCUUCAGCACAGGGAAAAGUGAGCGUCAUGGCUUGGCUGCAUGUCAGGCCCAAUCUGACUCUCAGUCCCCUUUACCAGCUGUUCCCUGGUGCCAGCAGUGAGCAAAGGAUUAGGUGGUAACAGUUUUGUAAACUGCAGUGGCAAGACUUGCCCCUCAGUUUCUGUAGUUCCAGUAAAGAAUAAGCUCUUCUAAUACAAAUUGCGGAUUUUGUUCUUCAACCGGGGCUUGGCUGCUGCUAGGACAGGUGAGGCUGGGCAAGAAGACUUCUGCAGACAGCCACUCAGUUUUUCUAAAAAAGGAGGGCAGAGCUUGAUGCUGGAAAGGAGAACUCCUGAAAUGCAGAGCCGAGCUAGUUCUCUGAGAAAUACUCCCAUUAAUCUCAGUGAGGAGCAAAGUUUGAGGACGCUGCUGAAGAGCCCAGACUUACACACAGCUGCAUUUCAACAGCUGAAGUGCCAGCAGUGUCCCAGUGUCCUGGCUUUAUAUUGAGGUUGUAGAAAUGUGCUGGAAUAUGUGAUGUGUACACCAUGACUGGAAGGUUGUCUGUUUUGUGGUUCUGGCAAAAAGCUGGGCUGACUCCUGUAAAGGUGCACUGACACCUUCAAAGGUGCACACAGAGGUGUAUCAUCUUGUCUCCAUCUCCUCUCAUUCCCUCUGCUCCUCUUUGACUCUUUCUUCUGCCUUUUCCCAAGCCACUGUCAUUUUCAUUUCCUUCCCUGCUGCCUUGGACAUUUGAUCUAGACUCUACUCACAAAUGUGUCAGAGUUUUUCUGCUCACAGUUUUCAAAGCCUGUUUUUGCACCUUUGUUCUGUAGACACAGGUCUCAGACCAGUGUAACUUCCUGUUGCUGGAACAUAAAAUAUAUACAAAUUCAAAAUACAGUAAAAAAAAAAAAUACUGUUCAGACUUGUUUACUUUGAAUGAAAAUAAAAACAUUUAUAUCAUGAAACCUGACUGAGUGGAACCGGGUUAAGAAUGCCCCAGCCAUCAUGACAGUGGUGAUGAAACUGGAAGAUUUUUUUACUGGAAGUCAGUGUCUAUUAAGGAAAGCACUAAAUUACUCAGCACAGGUAUUGUUAGAGCAGUCCUGACCAAUAACAUAUUUUUAAUACCAGUGACUCUUGUUGAACUCAUCUCUGUAAUUGUUUUUGAUGAUAGAAUGAAUCAGAGUGCCCUAAAAACAUAGCAAUAAAAGAAAGCACUUAUUAUGGACCAAGGAGCCAUUAAGUCUAAAUCCUAAAAAUUGGCAUUCAGCAUACAAGAUUAAGGAAGCAAAAGCCUUGUUAGUUUGGUUACUUUUAUUUACAAAGUAAGAAAAAACAGAACCUUCAAACAGCUUAAGUAGUUUUGAUUAAAAACGUUCUUAAGACUAGAAAUAUGUUAUUGUGCACUCAGCCAGAAAUGCGUUUUAACAAAUGAGGGUUACAAGAAGGAUGAAGGAACUUUUCUUACUGCGUGCAUCCCAGUUGUGGGGCCCAGUCAUGUAGUGUGCUUGGAAGGAGCAACCCACUAAGCAUGAACAGCCAAGGGCUGAUUAGUAAGACAUUUAACCUAUUAUUUUUUCACAGGACAAAGAGACUUUCGUUCUGUAAGGUAUUUGUAAAAUGGGUUUCCACAAUGAACCAGGCAAACCCAGACAACCUUUGCUUCCUCAUAGGUGUUUGCAUAGCAAAUCUGUUACUAAUUACAACUCUUGACACUCAGGAGUAUGUGAGCUGUGUGGUUUGCCCUUAUUAUUUUUAGGUCAAAUUGUACCCACUUACAAUCUCCUGCCUGCCCUUCACAAGCACUGUCUACUUGUCUAGAGGUGGAGAACUUUGAUGAGCAUUAAACUGUCACAUAAAGACAUACUGAAUUCUGAAAGAGACAUUGAAUAUCUGUAUAGGAUUAUGCAAAGAGGGACACAGAAGUAGGGUCUUUAGUUUUCUCUGCACUGCAAAAUUAAUCUGGGUUGUACAAAUCCAUCAAAUGAAUAGGCAGGCUCUGAAAACUUCCUUUUCCCCACCCAAGAUAUAAUUGCCACUGGGAUGCCAGAAGUGAAUGAGAUUCUGUCAGGAGGUUAUAUUGAUAAAGUAAACAUCCUGCACAAAAGCUGAGUUUCUUUUGGCUGUUUUGCACAGAUGAGUUCUUAUUACAAGCCUGCACAAUAACCAGUCCCAUGAUUUGUUAAACAGAUAAGAGAGAAGCAGUUCCUCACUUGCCAAAAUGGAUGUAUCAGUGACAAGACACGGCUCAUGCUCCCAGCUACUCACUUUUUGGAGCUACUCACUUUUUGGCAGUGGUGAUGGGCUGGCUUCAGGCAGGAGAGCAGGAUACCAUGGCUCAGGGAGCCAAUUAAAUGUAGUGGGGAGGGAGCAGAGCAGCACAGCUUUAGUGAGGCACAGGAAAUGGGUUUGCCAGGUGAAACUCCACUCCCAGUCUACACUGGAGAGUAAAUCAACCAUUUGGGGUAAAUACAGGGGAGAAAAAUACCCUUCUGCUUUCUUUUGACCUCAUAACAGAAUAUGAGGAUUUAGCCUUCCUGUCUUAGGGGUGUGCAGGAUAAUGGAGGAAGUGGUGGUUUCAUUAAGGUUUGACUUAGAAGCUUUAGUAGUAAAGGUCUUUCCAUUUCUUGGAUUUAGAGGACACAGGGUUUGGGCUUUGUUAGCAUGUUCAAGGACACGUGGCAGCAAAACUACCCUGUGAAAAGUUUAUGCUUUGUGUCCUGCAGACAGCAUGGAUAUAGCUUUUUUUCCUUGCCACAAACUGACCCAGAUUUCAGCUUUAUUUGACAGUCUUUUUGAGCAUAGUGUGAAGGAGAGGCAUCGCUUCUGGAAAUGCAUGUCAAUGGUUUUGUGAAAUGAGCGUCUCUCCCUUCCUCAGCCUUCCCCCAAUCUAAUUAAUAAGGUCAUCCCACUGAAGGCAGGCCUAUAAAUAGCUUUCCAAGCACUAAUGGAAUUAGUUCUGGCCUGGACGACUUUUCCAGGGUGACACAGGUAUCGAAGAAGGGCUUGCUCCUUGGCACAGACAGCCACUUACAGCAGGAAAUGUUGAAAUGUAAACAUUUACCUGAUGUCCCAGCUCUUGCUGCCAGCACUAAACCUGAAAUAGGAUUACAGCAUUGCCACUCGCAUUGUAGAAAGACUUGCAAGUGAAACAAGGGAUAUUAGAGGGAUGGGCCUUGUAUUAGAUUACAUUAGUCUGGAUAAUGAAAUGUCAAAUUCUGCUGAAGGUUUCUCGUUUGUCACUAUUUCUGAGGAAAGUGUAUUUUUUAUGUCCCACAAACCCACAAGAUUUUGUGAGGAUAAUAAACAGUUACCAUGGGGAAUAAAAUCGAAGUACUUCCAGUUGAUAAGAAUCUUUACUAUGACAGCAUUUAAUGGGAAAGGAAUAGCACAGCUAUAAACUCUCAAAAGAGAGUGAUGAUUAAAAAUUGACUAUUUAAAUCAUCAGUGAAUAGAGCCACUGAACCCCUUCAAAAGCAAUGGCUGAAUUAUUAACAUUUAAAAUCUGGCAUGAGACUGGAAUUUUAUCAUGAAAAUAAAACUUAAAUGCAUCAUAGAAAAUGUAAGCUCUGAUCAUUUAAAAAACUUGAACCAAAAUGUAAGGAGAAUGUAUCUGAUUCAGGAACUUCAAAUCAAUAAGCAUUAAGCGCCUGAAAACAUGAGACAAACAUGAAAUUAUAAUGUGAUUAUCUAUGUGACUAAUAAAGUUUAAUUACAGUAAAAUAAUGGAGAAACAUUAUUUUGCAGUCUGUUCUGUUUGUUCUGUCUUCACAGUCUAUUCUUCUAUUUGGCCUGGGUAUUGCAAUGGUCCUACCAUGUAUUGCAUUUUCAGUAAACAAAAGGGCAUUUCAAAGAUUUCAAAAUGCUUUUUGGGAAAAAUUUUAUAUUUAUUAAUCUUUUCAAUCAAAUUCUUUGCUGUUGCAUGUUCUGAAUAUAACCUUCUCCUUAAAUGAAGAAGAUGACAUGAGGGCAGUAGGUGCUUCUUCAUGUAACUGAGAAAAGAUCACUAAUUUAGAGAAGGAGAGAAAAGCAGCACUUUUCAGUCUCUGAAAUGGCUUUGGACCAGCUGCAGAAAAUCUGAGUCAUCAGAUGAAUCAAGUCUGUUAAUGACCGCAGAGAACUUUUACUUCAAAAAAUGCAGAAGCAUCCUGCUUUCCGAUAUUGAUUCUGUAGUGCUUCCUUUGGGAGGCUUUAGUCAUAAAGGUGCCAGAUUUGAAGACUUUUUUAGAAAUAAAAAAUGUGAGAAGGGUUUGGCUUUUAGUAAUUGUACCAUAAAAAAGAUGGUGGCCCAUAGCCCUUGGAACAUCUAUAAGUUUCUCUAACAGAAAUUAGGAUGGAAUUUUGGCUGACAGGCAAAGAGUGAGUUACUAAAGGUAAAAGUCACUCAUAAAGAGAAUUUUAUAUGAAAGGCCAGAUCAGGACAACCUGGCUCAGGAGCUAAGCAGCUGCCAUUGCCUUCAGCUUUAGACUGGGGAACACCUGAAAAAUCACAGUUUAGUUUCUUAAAGCAAAGGGAUAAGAGUCAUGAGGAUCUGUGUUGCAGCCUGCCUUUAGGAAGUCUACAAGAGAGAAUUACUCUACUGUAUUGUAACAGUAUAUCCUCUCUGUGUCAUUAGAUCCUAAGAGAUGAGGUCUCUCACCCUAUCCUCCAGUUGUCUUGUUAUUGUGGCCUGCAAAGAAAAGCCCCAUCUGUACCCCAUCCUUGGGAAAAAAAAAAAGACCAUUUUUGCCCUUUUUUCAGAUGUAGGAUUUUAGCACCCAGAAAUGGAGUCCAUUUCUGGGUGAUAAAAAUGGGUAGAACUAAAUUAUUCCUCUUUGGACCCAAUAUUUUAAUAUAUCCAAAUUCUUCCCUUUCAGAAGUAAAUGAAAAAUGUUCACCCUUGUACCAAAGCCAAAAUAAAGCAGUUCUGUGAAUCCUGGUCUACAGUGGACCAUCUUUAACUGAUGUUUAUAACAUCACAUGCAAAAUCUUUUCCCCUCUUUUCUUCUCCCCAUCACUGGGAUUUUGCUCUGUGAAUGUCUGCCAUCCACUCUUAAUGUGCCAAUCGCUCUUAGUUUCUCAUCUUGACAUCAUGAUCAAUGAGGGGAAAUAAGCUGUUACUUAAUGGGGCUGAAACAAAAUCCAUUUAAGUUAACGGAAAGACUCUCAUUGUUUCCUAUCAGCCCUAGGUCAGUCCAGAGUGAACAGAGUGGGUGGAAUUUAGCCUGUCAUUUGUCAUCUGAGAGGAAAUGAUUCCUACAUCCCAUUUGGACUGCUUAGAGAUUUUAAACAUAUUUAGCAAAAGCAAACAGAUUGAUUUCUUGUCAGUUGUUAAACGGUUGAAACGUUACUCUGGUUGGAUAGUCUCAGUUUAAAAUAAUACUCCGUUUUCUCAAUAGUUAAAAAAACCCCCAAAUAUAGGAGAGAAAGAUCAAGGUGGGUGUAAGUCAGUGAAACUGAAGAGGUGCCUGCAUCAUCUACACAGGAGCUCAGCCUCGCAGGCAGGGGCUGCACAGGGCCUGUGAACUCACCCUGCCCUUCCUGCCACCUAGCUGACAGCCUCUCAGAGUUAUUUAUUUUAGGUUUCCUAAAUACAUUUGGAGAGGGAGAAAACAUCUGUACUCCAACACAUAGUGUUGUUCUAAGGUCUUCUAGGUUUUGUAAACAGAUUUAAUAAAAUAUGAAUCCAUUUUUCUCUAUUGCUUGUAAAUGUUUACAAAUAUCAUUCAGAAGCAAAAUGAACAUGUUCUUUAAUAUAGCCCAGCUAACAUCAGACUGUCCCUACUAUAUCUCCCAGUCUGAAUAAUGCUUGUUAGCCUUGGGAAGAGGGAGCAGAGUGCCUGGCAGGGACAAGAGCAUCUGAGUGAUUGUCUGACUUGCAAUUCCCCUGAUAAGUUUAGAGACUGUUUCUGCAGUGUUUCUGCAGAAAUAACUUCUGUUCUUUAAGAACAAAAGUCAAAGUGUUCUGUUUCUUGGUUAUGGUGCAUUACAAAGAGUAAAGGGAUUUCUGUUUCACCACGUCCCUUCUGAACAGCAGGAAACUCUUGGGAUAUAUCAUUUAGUUGCUGAUGGCCAGGCCAAGUUGCUGAGAGGUCAGAGGACUUGCAAGAGACAGAGACAUCAAGAAGUUUGAUUUCAGUGCAAAUUCAUCUACUCUGCUCCAAACAGUGAUUGCAAAACAAGUGUUACUGCUGCUGGCAAGCUUUGUGAGGCCUUACAUCCACCAUCCACUUUGUUCUGUCUGUCCUUGAGUUAGAGUGAUAGAUUGUGUUAUCUUCGAUGGAAGGGAUGAAUUUUCAGACAGACCCUGACCUAACUUCUCUUUCUGUUGUGGUGGAUGAAAGUCUGCAGCAUUCCAGUGAUAUUACUGAGGGAUUGGACUCACACAAAUGAGACUAUGACCCCUCACAUAAUUGCUGGAAGGACUAAAGGGGAAAAAAAACCCUAAUACUUGGGAAGUUUUUAGGAGCCGUCUGGAAAGCGCUUGGGUAAACAACAAUCCAGAGGGGGCACAGGAGUCACUCAACUUGUUUUUUAAAUCUCUCAGACAGCAAAUUCCUGUCCUCUAGAUUCCUGGGUCUUAAGGCUCAGUAGCAAUAUUUGUAAGUAGAGGCUGGUUGAAGAAAAUCAAGAAAUAAACAGACAAUGCCCCUGAUGAAGAGCUGAAAUAGAGAUUAUUGUAGGCACAGAUCAUGUCUUUCCAGAAACUGUUCCUUCCCUAGGGCUGUCACUUCUGAGCUGCUUCUGGUUGCCCACAGAGGGGAGUGGGGAUCCUCACCAGGGUCUAACCUUUUUCUGCUGCACUGGGUGUUACAACCUCUUAUCUGUUGCUUGUGGGUGCUAAAUUGCAAGGCCACAUUUUUGGGAACAGAACCCAGAGCCUUGGAGGAAGGCCGUGCUUUCAAACUCUGUUUCCUCAGUAGCUUCUGCGGUGCUGGCAGGGGAUCAAAGCCCAGGAAUUCCUGUGCUGUGCUCAGGCUGUUCCUCCUGGCUGAGGCCACAGCACUCUCCUCCUUUCUCUAUGGUUUCAGCAGGAUCAGUUAUAUAAAUGACAGGGCAAGAUACAGCCCUGGUGUGAGAGUGGGGCUGGAGAGGGCACAGGGCUGCUUGUGUGCAGACAAACCACCGUGGUGGCAUCUGCCCUCGGCUGACCCCGCUGGCAGCUGUGCCCUGUCCUGCUCCUACCAGCUGCCCAAGGCUCAUUUCAAACAGCUUCACAUCUGAUAGAAAUAGGAAUGGUGGCUUCUGAACGGCCUCCAAUUCUUUGGAACUUUACAGGAGUCUUGUAAUAGCAUUUUACUUAAAUUCUAGAAAACAACCCCAAAGCUAUUAGCAACCUGGCACUGGAAAAACCUCUGUGGAGGUUCAGUCAAAAUGACAAAAGUCUCCAUCCAAAAUUUAUAAAGGCAGUUUUUCAGUGGAAGUCCAAAUUCCCAUAUUUUGGCAGUAGACCUGUACUGGGUACAUUUGCACUAACAUUAACCAUUUAAAAGCUUCUUAGUGCCCUUUGACACAAAAAGGAGAAUGCUUCCUUUGAGGAAAGAUGUCCCUUAGCAGAGGAGAGGAAAUACACUGGAGGAGUUAAUCUCUUCCCUUUUGUUCUUGAGUUUUGAGGGGGACAAAGGCUCAACUUUUGGAUGGUGACAUUAAUCCCACACAAACUGAGCAAUGGGCUGUGCCCCCGCUAGGAGCUCCUGCAACAUGGAAGGUUAAACUAAAUGGUUGUUAAACUCCAGGCUGUAUAGUGCAUGACACAUUAGUGCUGCUUUUAGUCAUCAAUACAUUGCUAUUUAAAGAUGACUGAUGAUUAUUCAUAUUAAAAGUGUUUCUUUUUCAUUUGAUAUUUUUUGCUGUCAUGCAGACAUCUCUAUAAUUAAAUGUGUGCUUAACUCUUCUGUCUCCAGUUAAGUAGACAUUAAUGGGAACCUACCAAAAACAACUGUCAGAAAUGUUCCUGCACUUUAAUUUAAAAGUAUUAAUAUCAAAUUACAGGGAUGAUAAAAGUCCAGUAUGAGAUCACUAAAGGGAAUCAAGGCUAAAUAGUUUUGGAAUCAUCCAAGGUAGUUUGUUCAAACUGCUCUUUUUCUUACAGUUUUUCUAUAGUCACAGCAGAGACCUAUUCUCCACAGCAUAAGGAGGGGUUUAAAAUUAAACACUUUUAAGCACAAAAUCUCUCUACUUAUAAAAGAGUAGUACUGAAGUUGCAAAAUCAAAGACCUUAAUAUUAGGAAGCACCAAAAUUCAAGUCAAGUCUGUCUUAGCCUGUCUCUGUCUAAUAUUUCACACUAUGUAAUGCCAUAAUCAAACAGUAUUUUUCCUGUGGGAAAAAUCACACAACUGAAUAGACUAUGUACACUUUGGGAGUAGCUAUUCAACAUUUCAUUUUUCAGUGUGUGGCAUAGGGUUUAAUCCAAGCUAGGAGGGAGAGGUCUUACACAAGUCUUGAUAAUCUGAUCUGAUCCUUAAAUCAUUUAAAGACCAGCCCUAAUCUAACCUGGGCACUGAAUCCACAUGCUAAAAUUUUCCUGUGAUUUUUUUUUUUUUUUUAGAAUUUUCUUUCCCUACAGUAAGAUCAAAUCACCUGCUGCAGUGCCUGCAGGAGGGCACUGCCUCACUGAGUAAACAACCAUGGCUUGAUCCUGCCUUCCCAGGGAGCAGAUGGAUGCUUGAGAUAACCUGAGGUAUAGAUGGUAUUGUACCACUGACUGGAGAUCCCAAAGGUGCUCUUUUUACAGCCACUUCCCAGGCAGGAGGAUUUCCAUCCUUGCAGCAUUGCUCUGUCAUGACCUUGCCUCUGUUCCAGGCUAUGGAAUGGGGCUGAGCUACACCUUACACAACCUGCAGACCAAGCUGGAGGCCCCCAACACAACCAAAAUUGGAUCAAUUCUUUUGUAACAAAGGCAGGUCAGCCCUGGUUUGCCAGCUGGACUGGACUGCAGAAGUGACAGAGAGGGGAGCAAAGGCUGGGGAGAUUUACAAAUCUGCUCUAUACAUUGCAACAGACCUCAUGCAAAGUCAACAUGGCCUUGCAUCAUCAAGCACAGGCUGGAGCCAGGAAAGAGCUCAGCUGGAGAAGCCACAGAAUGAGGAGAGAACAAGCCUGUUCAGUGUCCCUGGGAUCAUAACACCUCCCCUGCCCUGACGACCUGCCUGCUUUGCCUGGAGGGCUGGAAAUUGCAGAGCUGCUGGUGGCUGAUGAGAAAUGAUUUAAAGAAGCAUUGCUGAGAACCCUGCAGAGAGCAAACCACAGCCCUGCACUGCUCCCCACGGGGCACAGCUGAAAUUUGGGAAGAUUCUGUCUCACUAAGGGACAUGUCCUUCAGGCUCAGGACAGGUGGGGUGUUUGUCCUUCAGCAAGCCCAGGCUGCUGCUGUCUGCUCUUUUGGAAGGAAAAAGGGUAGGUUUUCUCUUUUUGAGGAAACAAGUGUGUGACUUACAUCAAAUCUGUGCUUAAAAUGCUCCUGAAACAGGAAUGCAGAGAAUGGGAAAGAAAUCACCUGUAAAAAGCACUAUUAAUAUGCCUCCAUCAAGUAUUGUCUUUUUUUGGUUGUUGUUGUUUUUGGGGAGGGUGUGAGGUGCAGUGGCUGUACCCAAUGGACAGGGCAUCUACAUACAUUACAUCAUCUGCUGCUACUCACAGAUUUUUUCAAUCCACCCUUUAUGCUCAUUAUAUUCCCUUUAUGUGUGCCCAGCUUCCAGCAAUAAACUUAAGACAAUUCCCAUUAAUCUCUCAGAAAUUCAGGGGGUUUGUCAUUAGAAGAAGGCAAAGGUGGAUAUGCCCAAUUCCUCCCUGCCCUCCUCUUUCUUUAAAGGUUUAGCCCUAGAAUUGACCUGAAUUUGUAUACUUAUUUUACAUUAAAGAAGUAGCAGAGAUAAAAAUAGAAUAUGAAGAAUAUUACAUAAUGAACUGAUAAAAGGAUAUUGAUUACUUAGGCAAUAUAAUUACUACAAAUAAAGGUGGAUGCUAAGCCUAUAUUCCUUGCUCAUGCUGAAGCCAAUAGCAGUUAAAUUCAGUGUAUUUUUAGAGUAAUAAAGAGCUAUACCAUGGGCCCAAUCAACUUCAAUACAGAAGGAGUGCAAAAUGAGAGUGCUUAAACAAUAUGUCCACAUCUUCUAGGCAUUCAGGAAGAGACACAAAUAUAUAAUCAUUCAUAAUUAACAAUUUCUCCAUGGCACUAUCCGUGAAAGGAUCUCAUGUUCCUUAAUAAAUAUUAAUUAAAUCAACCCUACACCCCACUUCUGUAACAAUUAUUCCUGACAUUAACAGAUGGAGAAACUAGGGCACAGCUUCAUUGCCCACACAGAGCAUCUGCUGCAGAUCUGGGAUGAGACUGACCCAUCCCCAGCCAGGGCUGAACCAUCAGAUUCUGGAUCCUUGUGACAAGGAUCUGCCUCCAAAAACUGCCCCUGAUUUGUCACAUUGGGGUGGAAAUGCCUCUUUGAAACAUGAAUGUCAAACAGUGUCAGUGUUAGAUAGAGAAACCGAGGAGCAGUGUCUCCAAGGAAACCAGCAUAUGUGAGGAGGAAGUAAGGAAAAUAAAGCAGGAGCAGAACAGAAGCUUGAGAAGGCAUCUGUUCAGAUUUUUCUGGUUUUAUCAUUCUGCUAUGAUUUUCUCUAGUUAAUUCAGAUAGCUUUCUGCUGUGGAUGUCAGAGCAAUUUAUUUAUAAACAAUUAAUUUAGCUUUCCACCACUCUAGCAUGAAGAGCCAGCCCUUCACCUCAGAGCCCUGAGAGCUGCCCCAGGAGUCCACCUGCUUUCCUUGGGGGGAGCAGCCACCAGCAGACUCCAGCACAUGUACAUGCUUCCCAUCCUGCUCACAUGCACAUCCUUGCUGAGGCUCCAGCUGUCAUUCCAUGCAGGAGCCCCUCAGGGAGCCCAGCAGGACACGUGGAUUCAGUUUAACCCCCAGAGCCCACCCCACAGAACAGAUCCUGCACAGGGAGUCAAGCACUUGGGACAGCCACAAAGUCACUUGGGCUGGAGCAGGGCCAGGACACGAGGGCAAUGCUUUGCCCAUAGCAAAGGUACACAGGCAGCUCAAGAGACUUGGGGCUGUGGGGUUUGAUCCCUCUAAAAGAUGACAGUUGGGCUCCCCAAAGCAGCAUUGGCUCAUGGUUGGAAGAACAGUACUUCCAAUUAAACUCCCAAUACCAAUUCUUAUCUCCUGGCAUUCCCACCAAAGCACCAACAUCACACAAGCUGCAUGACUGAUGACUCAAGGUGAUGCAGCUCUAGGCAGUAAAAAUUAUUCUUAUGUUCAAGCCAAGGGGUUUGACUUGGACAUGUCAAUGUGCUCCCACACUCAGCACUACCAGGGGAUGAAAAAGUGUGCUGAUAUAAAAAUGAGACAAGAUUAACCCCUUUUCAAAUUCAAAACAACCACUGCAUGGGAAGGAACUCUCCCUGGCAAAUAUGGGUUAGUCUGUCUGGACUAAUCCUCUGCUCAUAUGUAGUGGCUUAUUAGGGAUUUUAAAAAGAAAUCUGAAGGCUUAGAC